CGAAAACAUUCAAUAUUUUAAUUCGAAGCCACUAUAUUUAUACUGAUAAAUAUAGUGGCUUCGAAUGAAAAUAUUGAAUGUUUUCGCGAAUAUU
rnacentral:miRNA from 1 species